rnacentral:rRNA from 1 species
AGUGAACGCUGGCGGUAGGCCUAACACAUGCAAGUCGAACGGCAGCACCGUAAGAGCUUGCUCUUACGGGUGGCGCGUGGCGGACGGGUGAGGUAUACAUCGGAAUCUUCUUUUUCGUGGGGGAUAACGUAGGGAAACUUACGCUAAUACCGCAUACGACCUCUGGGUGAAAGCAGGGGAUCUUCGGACCUUGCGCGAUUGAAUGAGCCGAGGUCGGAUUAGCUAGUUGGCGGGGUAAAGGCCCACCAAGGCGACGAGCCGUAGCUGAUCUGAGGGGAUGAUCACCCACACUGGAACAGAGACACGGUCCAGACACCUACGGGGGGCAGCAGUGGGGAAUAUUGGACGAUGGACGCAAGCCUGAUCCAGCCAUACCGCGUGGGUGAAGAAGGCCUUCGGGUGGUAAAGCCCUUUUGUUGGGAAAGAAAAGCAGCAGUUUAAUACCCCACUGUUCUGACGGUACCCAAAGAAUAAGCACCGGCUAACUUCGUG